rnacentral:rRNA from 1 species
GGGUUGUGAGGUUAAGCGACUAAGCGUACACGGUGGAUGCCCUGGCAGUCAGAGGCGAUGAAGGACGUGCUAAUCUGCGAAAAGCGUCGGUAAGGUGAUAUGAACCGUUAUAACCGGCGAUGUCCGAAUGGGGAAACCCAGUGUGAUUCGUUGCACUAUCGUUAACUGAAUACAUAGGUUAACGAGGC